AUUGAACGCUGGCGGCAUGCCUUACACAUGCAAGUCGAACGGCAGCACGGGAGCAAUCCUGGUGGCGAGUGGCGAACGGGUGAGUAAAGUAUCGGAACGUGCCCAGUCGUGGGGGAUAACGUAGCGAAAGUUACGCUAAUACCGCAUACGAUCUAUGGAUGAAAGCGGGGGAUCGCAAGACCUCGCGCGAUUGGAGCGGCCGAUAUCAGAUUAGGUAGGUGGUGGGGUAAAGGCUCACCAAGCCGACGAUCUGUAGCUGGUCUGAGAGGACGACCAGCCACACUGGACUGAGACACGGCCCAGACUCCUACGGGAGGCAGCAGUGGGGAAUUUUGGACAAUGGGCGCAAGCCUGAUCCAGCCAUGCCGCGUGCAGGAUGAAGGCCUUCGGGUUGUAAACUGCUUUUGUACGGAACGAAAAGGUUUGGCUUAAUACGUUGAACUCAUGGCGGUACCGUAAGAAUAAGCACCGGCUAACUACGUGCCAGCAGCCGCCGCAG
rnacentral:rRNA from 1 species